rnacentral:rRNA from 1 species
UACGUAGGGUGCAAGCGUUGUCCGGAAUUAUUGGGCGUAAAGAGCUCGUAGGCGGUUUGUCGCGUCUGCUGUGAAAACCCGAGGCUCAACCUCGGGCCUGCAGUGGGUACGGGCAGACUAGAGUGCGGUAGGGGAGAUUGGAAUUCCUGGUGUAGCGGUGGAAUGCGCAGAUAUCAGGAGGAACACCGAUGGCGAAGGCAGGUCUCUGGGCCAUUACUGACACUGAGAAGCGAAAGCAUGGGGAGCGAACAGG